UUCCCCAUGGUUCCUUGUAGCUGGCUACAAGGCCCCUUGGAGGCUCUGUCCCUCUUCAGGGCAGGUAUAAGAUCUCUUUUCCUGCCUGCACAAAGAUUAAACAAAGUUGCAAUCUUGGCAUAUUGUGUGGUACAGACGCUGCACUGACCAUCGACGCUCUUCAAUGCCCGAGCGUUCACCCUACGUGAAGCAGUUCCAGGCAAUACAGCCACCUCUGAAACCCCACUUCUGAAGGCUGGGUUUGGACCUGACCAUCCCUAAAAACCCACGGGGAGCAAACUCCCCUUCACCAUCCUACAACUGCCAAUGGCAUCGCCUGGUCCAACAGAAAAGGGGAAAAAAUGGAAAACACAAAACCAGAAGUGAAACCAUGACUAGAACGUGGGACACCUAGAACAGACUUGCCUAUUUACUGUCAUUAAUUACCUGCUGAAUCUCCUCCUUGCCUUGCAAAGCAUUUCUGUGACUGACGCUGCUCCCAGUUUUAGGCUACAUGAUAAGCAGACCAGCAGGGCUGUGGGUCAUGUUCUGCUGGGGGUGGCUGUGGGUACAGCAGUGACACUGGAUCUGCACGGUCCCUGCCCUGGGGAUGUGCAAUCCUCAUCCUUAGGCGGUAGGGAGGCCACCAGAUGUGUCUGGCCCCAAUGCCCUGGGUACUCACUGUCCCCAUCCUUAGCAGGGAGAGGUGUGGCGGUGUCCCCUGGCAGUGCUAUGGGCUAACAGGGUGGGACAGUGGCGUUUUAGGGACGGGAUCCCCUCCACCUGCCUGAAAAGAAGUCCUUCCCCACUGCCUUGCAGGGUACAAAGUGUGGGGAUCACUUCUUCAAAUAGUUUAAUGUUUUAGUUUAGAUUAGUCAGGGAACAGGGGCUCUGGUCUCAAUGCAUUAACCCCUCCUGUGGCCUCCCACAAUAAGCAGCAUCUGCAGGCUCAGCCAAAGGGUUCCUUGCCUCACUGCAGCUCCUUGUAAAUCACCAUCACCUCCAGCUACAACUGGCUGUCACCACGUCACAUCCAUGAGGAUCAGAGUGGGACAGAGUGAUGGCAAAGUCACCCUGUCAAUGGGACUCCAUGGAUUUAAUGUAAAUUUUCUUAGCUGGGUUACAAACCAUCAGUAACAUUAGCAAGAAAAAAAGGUUUGUAGAAAGUGAUCUGUUUUCAUUGCUGGAUGUGCCCUCGCUUACCUUCCACCGGUCCCGCUGUGAGAAAAGGGGCCUGAUGCUGCUGCUGCUUGUGGGGCUGUAAAACUCAGAGAGGGAGGAGAAAGGGGAAGAGGAAAAGAAAGAAGAGGAGGGAAAGGUCCUGCAGAGGAAGACUGAGCAGAACUGGGUCAAAACACAAUAAUCUGGUAGGUUUGAUUUAUAGGCUCGUGGGAUUGGAACGGCUGGAUUGCAAAUGCUGCAGAAAAGAUAUCUGCUGAUUUAAAAAAAAAAAUUGCCAGUGGAAACAGGUUGGUUUAUUUUUAAUCACUCCAAGAGUUUUGUUUGACUUAGGUUGCAUAAAUGUUCUUGAAAACCUGCAAUGUUUAGACAAGCUGAAGUCAGACAACAUCCCCUUCAUGGCUAAGUGUCUCCUUUCACCGCUGGGGAGAGUGCGCGCUGCCGGUGGCCUGGAGCCGCCGUCCCACAUCCCUGCCAGCCCAAUCCCUACCUGAAAUCCCUCAUCCCAGCCAAAGCCGCAGCAGAUGUUUAGCACUGAGCGCUCUGGAGCAGGGAUUGAGCUCUCUCCCAGGGAAGCAGUGCCAGGUGGAUGGCAAGGCAGAGCUCACAGCAGAGACCUGGCAUUGCAGGAUCCACGGGAGCAUUCCAGGAGCCGCACAGAGCCGGCAGGCAGUGGCACCAACCCAACAGAUGGAGAACCAUCGCCCGGCCCUCGAGCUGAAUCCUUCUCCUGUGUCGGUGAUGAGGCUACAGCGACGGACACCAGCAGCGAGAAACACCAAGUGCGUCUUUAUUAUUCACUACACCUGUGCCCGGGCAGCUUCUGCAGAGGUGCAAAGCCCUGGUGGUGAAAUAUUCCAGCCUGUGGCUUUCCCAAAAGAAAUGGGGGAGGAUCAAGAGUGCCAUGGGUAAGGAAGAGAGGCUGCAGGGCCACGCAGCCUCUGUGCCAGGAGGCUGGGAACAGGGGCUGUGAGGCUUGCCAAGAGUGGCCAAGAGGAGGGGGAUGGCACACGGCAGAAGCAAACCAAGACUGUCAUGGUGCUCACACAGGAUGACUGAGUUCACAACGAUGGAAUGGGAAUCUGGAAGAGUGUCAGGUGCUGCCAGCCCAUGCCUGUGGUGGGACAUCCUCACCUUGCUGCUGCCAUUAGCGCCGUCCCUCUCCUCUGAGGUCCACACUAUUGCCUUCUGGUCUCCUCGAGAGCCUUGGGUGAGAGUGAGUUUGCUCUCCGAGCCGUGAAAGACAAACUGACCCGUUGACUCACCGACUGACCGACCAAGAGAAAAAGAAAGAUCUCACCCUUGGUGGUUAAUAAAAUCCUGGUAAUGCUGAAGUCCCCUUGGGCAGACUUUUACCACAUUCCACUCCAUACAAGACACAUUUCAAAUGCUCAUUAAUUUACAGAAAUUGCAUUUUAUAGAAAAUAUGAUACAAUGAAAUAUAAAAUGCACUAGGAGCAUUUCAAAAAUCUAUAGAGACGAUCUUGCAGCCCAGUUUACCCUCUGAAAGGUGCCCACUCAUCACCGCAAGCUCUCCACCUCUCAUUCUCUCUCUCAUGUGCACACGCUCGCUCCCCCCGCCUCCCCCCCUUUAACUCUUAGCAUUCAACUUGAGAAUCAAUAGAGAUAUCAAAAAAAGCGUGAUUAUCCCCUGGAUAAUCACCUUCCAAUACUGUGCACAUUCUUGGAUUUAAAGGAAAAUAUAUCUAAGCACUUUUACAAGUUUUAGCGAACCCACUGCAAAAUCGUCUGCAGAAUAUAAAACACAGGUAAUCCAAGAUUUCAUAGCACAUUAAUUAAGUGGCUCAUAAUCCAUUAAAUGUGGUUUAUAUUACACAUCCAUGCAGUCUAAAUCAUUUUACAAACAUUAGACAUAAACCCACUAGUCCAAAUCAGUAAAGGAAAAAUGUAAUAAAAAAAGCUAAUAACUAUUUGUUAUUGGUUAAACUGACCCUACAUAUAAACUAGGUAGUUUGCUACCAUUUAUAAUACUGAUGUUGAAUUAUGCCUGGAUGCUGCGAAACCUCUUGCUUACUUGGCAAUGCUUGAGCAUAUUAACCACAAGAUACUUAACAGGCCCU